GCUGGGCGCGGUGGCACAUGCCUGUAGUCUCAGCUCCUCGGGAGGCUGAGGUGGGAGGAUCCCAUGAGCCCAGGAGUUCUGGGCUGUAGUUCACUAUGCCAAUCGGGUGUCCUCACUAAGUGACCUACCAGGAGCGUGGGACCACCAGGUUACCUAAGGAAGGGUGAAUUGGCCCAGGUCGGAAACUGAGCGUCAAAACUCCCGUGCUGAUCAGUAGUGGGAUCACGCCUGUGAAUAGCCACUGCACUUCAGCCUGAGAAACAUAGAAAGACCCUGUCUCUA
ensembl:misc_RNA Metazoa_SRP Metazoan signal recognition particle RNA